rnacentral:rRNA from 1 species
AAACUAGGAUUAGAUACCCUACUUAUUAAAAAAUUUAAAUAUAUAAUACUAAAAUAGUAAAUAAUUUAUUGAAACUUAAAUAAAUUGGCGGUAUUUUAGUUCAUUCAGAGGAAUCUGUUUAUUAAUUGAUAAUCCACGAAUAAAUUUACUUAAUUUAUUAUUUUGUAUAUCGUUGUUAAAAAAAUAUUUUUUAAUGAAAAUAAUAUUUUAAAAUUUUAAAAUGAGAUUAAAUCAGAUCAAGAUGCAGAUUAUAAUUAAGAAUAUAAUGGAUUACAAUAAAUUUAUUUAUAUGGGAUAUUAAAUUGAAAUAUUUAAUUGAAAGUGGAUUUGAAUGUAAUUUUAUUUAAAUUAAUAAAAUGAUUAAUAAUUAAAAUAUGUACAUAUUGCCCGUCGCUUUCAUAUAUAAAUUAGAAAUAAGUCGUAACAUAGUA